rnacentral:lncRNA from 1 species
AUGAGGCCUGCGGCAGCCUUACGUCUUAACCUAAUUUCAUGGUCUGUGGGUUUGGAUGGAUGGCUCUGCUGCAACCUUUACACCGAGGGGAGGAGAGAGAGUGCCGUGAGUGUGUAUGGCGCGCGCAUGUGUGUGAGCAUCUGUGUGAGUGUACACUUACACAAUAGCACAAUUGUGGAAGAGCAAAGAAGAAAGAGAGAGACAGGAUGCACCGCUACAAUAGCACAGAGAAUUGUAGUCAGUGGCAGAUAUUAACCUUUUAACCUUGUACUUUCUGUUAACAAAAAUACAUUAAGCUCCCCUGGAUUGCUGACAGCGAAUUGGGGUUUUACAGACUUUGACUGAGCAUGACUGAAUGAUGAGGUGGACCUAUUUUGUGGUAAUGCACUUCAAUUACAGAAGCAAGUCUGCUAAAAACACAUAAGCUCAAGCAAGAUACAUUAGGGAAUUUGGUAACGGCAAAUUAUUCCUGUUGUUGAUCUGAAUGACAUAUGAACUACGCCCGACUGGAAAAGCUGGAGCAGGGAAAACAAUGCUGCUGAGAGCAAACAACAUUACAUACAGAGCAGCGGAUAAACUUUAACGAUCCCAAACAGAAUUAGUCACUGAUUGUCGUUGAUUAGAUAACAGGUAUUUUCAAGUAGGUGCGAUUAUUUAUGGGGUCAGCGUAACAGCUCGGUGUGUUCUUAAGCAAAAUGUCAACAUUGCCCUUUUAGUUUGUCCGAGUAUCUUUUGGUGUGACGGCUUAUUUAGCCAAACCAUGCAUGACACCAAUUAUACUGGAGGGAAAUCGAUUCCAACAAAGCUCUCUGCUU